CAAAUGAACUGUUAGGUGAGACUCCUACGUGAACACACGCUAUCGCCCAGGAACAUCCAGAGAUGCCAACGGGUCAAACAGGUAUUGUCGAGUUAAGGCACUAUCCAGAUAGCUAGCAUGUGCUUACGUCACGUAGUGUUAAAACUGAACGAUUGGUUAUAACG
rnacentral:sRNA from 2 species